UCUCUAUCUCCCUCUCAGAACCUGUUUCUGCUGUGAGACUGGUGGCCAACAACUUUUGGAAUUCAAAAGCUCUGUCAGUCUGUUUUGCUCUUUCUCUGGCUCCUCCCUCUCUUACCGCUGGCUGAAUGGCAACUCCGAAGUCACAGCCAGUAAUGGAAUUCAGCUUAGUGAUGGGAACAGUACUCUCACCAUAGUCAGUGUGACUCGAUACAACGAUGGGCCGUUUGGCUGUAAUGCUUUCAACACCGUCAGUAAUGGAACCACUGAGCCUCUACAUCUCAGUAUCAGCUGACUACUCUGACCAUGUCCUGCUCUGCCCAGUCCAACCCUCAGGCUGAGUUUCAAUGGGUUUUUAAUUUGGAACCAUCUGAAUGGGACAAAUCCAGAUCUGAAGCUAUACAGUGCUGUGGAGAGCCAGAGUGACCUAAGCUCCUGCCUGGCCUUCAACAACAGGACCAUGAGCUACAGCAACAUCACUAGACAGAUCACCAUCAGCUGUGGAUUUCUGGACCUGUCAUCCCGAGAAGGAACAUUUCUGCUGUAAUUGCAUCCUGAUACAGAAUAUAUCUCUCAUUCCACUAUCAUGCUGUUGAUGGAAUUAUUUCUCUGAACAUUAUAGUAAAACAUCUUUCAUUGUCUUUUUUCAUUAUUGAAGAUUUAUUCUUCCAGAUUAGUAUCACAAUGAAGAAUCAUAUAUCAUGUACAGUAUUUCAACACCUCUCUGUACUGUAAGUUGCUCGAGACCUUGUGGAAUAACCAAAGUAUAUCAAGCAUUCUUGUUGGAAUAUGACUCUGAUUUGAAUAUAAAGUUCUUAAUUGCUUUGAUAAAGUUGUUUUAAACAAACUAUUAUUUUCAAUAAAUCUGAAUGUUCAAUAAUGGUA